rnacentral:rRNA from 1 species
UGCCAGCAGCGGCGGUUAAACCCAGAAGGCACAAUCAUUUUUUACGGUAAAACAGUUAAGGGAAACACAGUAAAUCACCAAUAUCAUGAGGUAAAAUUCAGAUACUGAGGUAAACCUAUGAAGCGCACUCCGGAACUGUGAAAUCCUUGAGGGAAACUGGGAUUAGAUACCCCACUAUUUCAAGGACAUAAAAAUUUUUAUCAGGGUACUACGAACAAUGUUUAAAACUUAAAGGGCUUGGCGGUAUUUUAGACCCCCCAGGGGAACCUGUCCUGUAAUCGAUAGUCCGCGCAACACCUAACCCUACUUGUUAGUAUGUAUACCGUCGUCGUCUGGCAACCUCCAAAAGGAAAAAAGUUGGCGGCAAACCCCUAAAGUCCCACGUCAGAUCAAGGUGCAGCUCAUGGUAUGGGAAGGAUGGGUUACAAUUAUAACUUAUAUUACCGAAACUGCUUGCAAUAGCUUUCAAAAGGAGGACUUGGAAGUAAGGGAAAUUAUAAAAACACCCUGAAUGAGGCUCUGAAAUGUGUACUAACCGCCCGUCGCUC